GACGAACGCUGGCGGCGUGCUUAACACAUGCAAGUCGAACGAACAGGCCCUGCUUUUGCUCGUUGCUCGUUUGGCGAACGCGUGUGUAACACGUGUGUAUCCUGCCCUUGUCUUUGGGAUAACUUCUGGAAACUGCGGCUCAUAUCCGAUAUGAUCUCCUGCUCCACGUUGUGCAUUGGAAAGUUUCGGCGGUUCGGUCUCGACUCGCUGCUUAACCGCUUGUUGGUGUAGUAGUUGCUUACCAAGGUUAUGACGGAUAGCCUGCCUGAGAGGGUGACCGGCGACAAGGGGACUGAGAGACGGCCCAGAAUCGUACGGGAGGCAGCAGGGGGAAGUAUUGCAGAAUGAGCGGAAGCGUGAUGCAGAAGCGCCGCGUGCGGGAUAACGGCCUUCGAGGGGUAAACCGAUUUCGCCUGUAACGAAGCGGGAGUGACGGUAAUGGGUAAAAAAGCACCGGCUAACUACGUG
rnacentral:rRNA from 1 species